rnacentral:rRNA from 1 species
GACGAACGCUGGCGGCGUGCUUAAUACAUGCAAGUCGAACGGAAAGACCCUGCUUUUGUGGGGUGCUCGAGUGGCGAACGCGUGAGAAUCACGUGAGUAACAUGCCCUUUACAGUCGGAUAACAUCAGGAAACUGGGGCUAAUACCGGAUAGAAGCUCCUGCUGCAUAGUGGGGGUUGGACAAUUUCGGCGGUUGGGGGUGGACUCGCGGCUUAUCAGCUUGUUGGUGGGGUAGUGGCUUACCAAGGCUUUGACGGUUAGCCGGCCUGAGAGGGUGACCGGCAACAAUAGGACAGAGGUACGGAGCAGACUCGAACGGGAGGCAGCAAUGCAGAAUAUUGCGAAGUGGGCGGACGUCUGAGGCAGCAACGCCGCGUUCGAGAGGAAGGCCUUCGGGUUGUAAACCGCUUUCACCUGUGACGAAGCGUAAGUGACGGUACUUGAUAAAGAAGCACCGGCUAACUACGUG